rnacentral:rRNA from 1 species
GAUGAACGCUGGCGGCGUGCCUAAUACAUGCCAGUCGAGCGAACAGACGAGGAGCUUGCUCCUCUGACGUUAGCGGCGGACGGGUGAGUAACACGUGGAUAACCUACCUAUAAGACUGGGAUAACUUCGGGAAACCGGAGCUAAUACCGGAUAAUAUAUUGAACCGCAUGGUUCAAUAGUGAAAGACGGUUUUGCUGUCACUUAUAGAUGGAUCCGCGCCGCAUUAGCUAGUUGGUAAGGUAACGGCUUACCAAGGCGACGAUGCGUAGCCGACCUGAGAGGGUGAUCGGCCACACUGGAACUGAGACACGGUCCAGACUCCUACGGGAGGCAGCAGUAGGGAAUCUUCCGCAAUGGGCGAAAGCCUGACGGAGCAACGCCGCGUGAGUGAUGAAGGUCUUCGGAUCGUAAAACUUUGUUAUUAGGGAAGAACAAAUGUGUAAGUAACUAUGCACGUCUUGACGGUACCUAAUCAGAAAGCCACGGCUAACUACGUG